rnacentral:misc_RNA from 1 species
GGUGUUAUUUUCUACGUUUUGGCUUGUUUACGGACUUUUUGAUCUUCUACGUGUUACGACAUCACCUGGCUUGUUACUUGGACCCCGGAUUAAUUGCAUGACUGAUAACUUGUCUCUCUAUUACACGUAUUACAAUUUUUGCAAUUUUGAUAAAGUAUAUUAAGAUGCCGAAACCAGCUUAAUUAAAAUGUUAUUUCAAAUGUGAUAUCGAUGGACCUUUACAUCCCUUUCCCAAAUGGGAAUAUUCUCAU